ACAAAUUGGAUGACUACACUAGGAGAUCAAAUGCUUCUAUUAAUAUCAGGAAAUAUAGAAACUACCUGAAGAAUUGAGAGGGCAGAACUGCGACAGAUGGAAUUCAGAGUGAGAAAAUUUGCCAUUCCAAGUGAGCGAACAAUAUACAAGGCAAGAGCAGUACAAAAAGUCUACCUUAUCAGUUAAUAAAU